GUACUACUCCAUCCGUCCGAAAAUACUUGUCAUCAAAAUGGACAAAAAGGGAUGUAUCUGAACUAAAAUACAUCUAGCCCUUUUUAUUAAUUUUGAUGACAAGUAUUUCCGGACGGAGGGAGUAUAUU
rfam:Triticum aestivum genome assembly, contig: Triticum_aestivum_CS42_TGACv1_scaffold_271513_3DS